UACGUAGGGAGCAAGCGUUGUCCGGAAUCAUUGGGCGUAAAGCGCGCGUAGGUGGCCUCGUAAGUCCGCUGUGAAAGUCCAAGGCUCAACCCUGGGAUGCCGGUCGAUACUGCCGGACUAGAGUUCGGAAGAGGCGAGUGGAAUUCCCGGUGUAGCGGUGAAAUGCGCAGAUAUCGGGAGGAACACCUAUGGCGAAGGCAGCUCGCUGGGACGUUACUGACGCUGAGACGCGAAAGCGUGGGGAGCAAACAGG
rnacentral:rRNA from 1 species